rnacentral:tRNA from 2 species
GCCCCGAUACUCCAAUUGGUAGAGAGAGCGGAUUCAAACCCCGCGCAGUGUGGGUUCGAGUCCCACUCGGGGCA